GACUGCAGCCAGGUGCCAGCCCAUCCCAGAAAAAGUUCGCGAGACAGUGUAGCAGCAGCGUUUCAGGGAUUAUGGAAAAUCACAACACAUCUGGCACCAGGCUUCACCCUUAACGAUCUUGUUCUAGCACCAGUGAAUAUGGCCGUUUUCUGGGGUCUGCUGGGACCAGGUGGCUUCAACAGUCUCCACCAAGUCCUUCCAGCAGUGGAACUGCUUUUCCCCGUGUGGCCUGAGGACGUCCCGGACCCCACUCUGCUCCUGCGGAUUUGCCCUUCCCACCAGAGCACCGCCAGAAUGAGGUCCUACUCUAUGGGCUGCUGAUGCAAAGGCUACAAAAGCUGGUUGAAAAGAGCCAAUCUAUGAGGACACCUGGAAGCUCUUUGGUCCUUUCAGAGGCUAAAGAAAGUAAAAUUCUGCUAAGGAGAUGGUCUGCUUUCGAGAAGGGGUUACAAGAAUCAAGGUUUGCAACAUGUCUGUCCUCACCCUGUGUGCAAUGCUGAGAAGGCUUCUGGGCAUCCAGCCGUUGCUGGCACCAUCGCUGUAGCAGCGCUCAAGUGUGAAGCUCCUUAUGCUGUUGGGCUCAGCCUGGAGCAAGGUGUGCACAUGCUACAGCCACACACAGACUCUCCACGCUUGUCAGUAACAGCUGUGAAAUCUGCCCCUCGUCUCCUUUCUAGAAGCCGAAAGCGGAAGAAAUCUCAGAUGUUGUGACCCCCAUGGAGCAAAAGGAGAAAUUGAAUCCAGUAGAACUGAUCACUUUGCCUAAAAUCAAAUAGCUAUAUAGCUGCAGAACGGAAACCAGUAUUUAGUUCUGCUGACUCUCAGCCCAGUAACUUUUCCACUAUCAUCACAUGACAUUCACACUUGUUUCCAUGGGUUUCCUCCACCUUUUUCUUCUGUCUGUCUUAUUAAAUAUGUCCUAUUUGUCUUCUUUUUUUCAUUUAUGCAUUAAGGGUGACCUACUUAUAUCAACAUCUAAUAAUAUCUAAUUUUGUUGAUUCUUUCAAAAAUUGCCUAAAAACUGAUUAUUUUGCCAGUAAGCAGUUACAUUUUCAUCUUUAGGUUUCCUGUCUCUCAUACUGAAAAAUUAAGUAUGAGUAUAAAUGUUAAUCGGAGUUGUUUUCCUUGUCAUUGCAAUGAUUUAUACUUGAGUUGUUUCCUAUCAGCUUUACCACAAGAUGGAAUCUUCGAAGUAAGUACUCCUUUACACAUAUUCUCUCUCAGUGGGCAGACACUAAUGAAGCUUCUGUCAAAAACCUGGCAAGAAAAUGUUUCUUAAAGUCAUAGCUGAUGCCAGACAUUAACUGCAUCAGAUUUUCUAUUCUGUGGUGGGAAAAGAAAAACAAAAGCAUUUGUAUCUAACUUCAAUUCUGCUAAAAGGGAAAAAAUUAUAUCCGGGUCAAGGUCCAAUCCAGUGAGGUUUGAAUAAAUGGAGAUAUUGUAUCUUCAAAAUUCAGUGCUUGGUAUGCUUAACACUCAAAAUUGUGCUAAUAGUUAAAACAGCAUUGUACAGAGUUGGAAUGAUAUCCCUUUGCAAAGGUGUGCAUUCUCAAAGGAUACUGAUUCUAUACUGACUGCCUUCCCCACUCAACAUUUAUAGGCUCCACAGUUACCAAAAUGUUGCUUUGGUACCACAGCACCAAAAGGCAUAUGCUCUGGCUACUAAGAGGAGGUUGCUGAAAAUUGUCAUUUGAGAACCUUCAGAGACAUCCUCUUGAUUGAUCAAAGAUAUUACCUUUCUCUUCUGUUGUCCAUAAUCCUACUCCAUGCUGCUAAUUUCAUAGCAAUUUUCUGCAUGAUUUCCUAUUUGAAAAUGCUGUGGUAGCAGUUAGAAAUCUUAAAAUUUUCCUAAUUCACUCUAAAUUGACUGCCAACACCUGUUUUGUUUUCUCCUAAAAUGGGGAGAAAAUUACUGUUCCAACCACCAACUACCUUUGUGUAUAUUCAGUGAAACAUUUUUUCUAGUUAUAAAUUUGUGUAACUUAAUUGACACGGGGAAUCCUUUUUUUAAAAAAGUAAAAAUAAAAUCUUAAGUAAAUCUAA